GAUGAACGCUAGCUAUAGGCUUAACACAUGCAAGUCGAGGGACCGGCGCACGGGUGAGUAACGCGUAUCCAACCUGCCCAUAACUAAGGGAUAACCCAGCGCAAGUUGGACUAAUACCUUAUGGUUAUGGAUGGGGAUGCGUCUGAUUAGCUUGUUGGCGGGGUAACGACCCGCCAAGGCAACGAUCAUGAGGGGUUCUGAGAGGAAGGUCCCCCAGCAUGGAACUGAGACACAGUCCAAAAUCCUACGGGAGGCAGGAGUUGGGAAUAUUGGUCAAGGGACGCAAGUCGGAACCAGCCAAGUAGCGUGCAGGAUGACGGCCUAUGGGUUGUAAACUGUUUUUAGAUGGGGAUAGGUACCAUAUGAAUAAGGACCGGCUAAUUCCGUGCCAGCAGCCGCGGUAAUUC
rnacentral:rRNA from 1 species